rnacentral:lncRNA from 1 species
AUGGAGGUGAAUAUGGCUCUAUAGAGGAAAUAACUUUAGAGAUUCAUGAAUGAAAAUAGUAGUCUCUAGUGGAGGGUGAUAGAUGCAAAGUUUGGGACUGUGGGUAGAGAGUGGUAACCAGGCUCUCAUCUAGGACCUAUGAGAAUAUGGGAAAAAAUAUGCAUGUGCAGGAAUAAAUUCCAAAAUUGUAUUAGCUGGAGGGUUGGCAUUGGAACAUAAUUAGCUUCUGGCAUGAUGCUUGGUUAAAGAGGAGGCCACUCUAUACUCCCAGAUCUAUGCUAUUGUGUGUUACAAGAAUAUUUCGAUUUAUGAGUCUUAUAGUGAUAAUGAGAGAGGAGAGGAGUGUAAUAUUUGGAGACUCAAUGCUAGAGGGUCCUUUUCAGUCAGAUUUUUUACAAAUAUUUGAUUGAAAGUGAUGCGACGAGCACCAGUUUUCCCUGUUGGCAAAUCUGGAAGGUUAAUGCUCCACCUAGAGUUUGCUUUCUUUGCAUGACAGGUAGGUCGAAAUGUUUCUUAUUCUUGACAAGCUGAUCAAGAGGGGGAAAAUAUUUGUCAAUGGUUGUUUUUAUGCAAAAGGGAGAUAGAGUCCUGUAAUCACAUUAUUCUAUGGUGUCUGUUUAUAUAUAAACUAUGAAUCCUUGCUUAUGGACUUCUGGGUAUCAAUGAUUGAUGGUUGGUUCAGUGAUAGAAGAAACUUAAGCAUAGGAGGGUAUUAGCAGAGUGAAGAAACAUUUUAGUUUCAUUCCUCUUGUUACUUUUUGGGUGAUUUGGAAAGAGAAAAACAAAAGAGCGCUUGAGGGGGUGGAAAUGUCUUUGAUAGAGUUAAAGAUAGAUGUACAGACCUUGAGUUUUUUAAUUAUAGGUCAUCCUCUUUAUUCACUGGAGAAUUUUGGUAUCUUAUUGACAUAUUGAUCAAUAUGUAACUACUUUUCUACAUGGAUUUCCACCCCCUUGUUGCUUGUGAAUGAAUUUUGCCAUACUAUUUUUAUUUUAAAAAAGAUUUGUCUUAGAAGCCACUUCCCUUGCUUGGGUAGCUUUAGACUUUUUCUGGUGACAAUUGUUUGUGCUUAUGUUUCAAUUGUUGUUUGUAGUCACUCCACCAAUUCUGGUAAUUUCUCAAUCAGCAAGCGUGCUAUAAACUCUUCCUGUAAAACAAUAUUUUAUACUUUCCAGUCUUUGCAGCUUGUGGUACUCAUUAAUUUGCGUCUUAAUUUCCUCGUCAUCGGUAAUCUCCCAUCAGUGAUAUUUUCCAAUAACAAAUUUUUGUUUUCCAACAUACUCAGCAUUUGUCAAUGAGUCUGAUAUCUCUUUUGCUUAUUUGUAGUGACAGUAGACAUAAAAAAUCUCAUUAGACAACUUACCUUGUUUGAACUAAAUCACCAAUUAUGAUUUGUUGAUGCCAUUGGGUUUUGUAGCAGUCAGUGCCGCAGUUACUAUGCAUGUUUAGCACACAGAAUAUUUUCCUGCCACCUUUUGAAGUUGUCACCGUUAAGAACUUCUUUUGGAUAUGUUGGAGAAAGGCUUUCACAAAGCCGUGCCAAAACAAGAGAAGCGUGACUAAGGGUGCGAUAGUGAAGGUUUUAGCAAUAGCAUUUUGGUAGUAGGCUAGGCAGGUGGAAUGUGAAGAAGAGACAUAAGUUAAAGGAGUCUUGAUGACAGCACGAUGCCAGACACAAGAGAUGGCAUGAGUAGUGGUGUAAUAGUGAAGGUUUUAGCAGCAGUAUUGCUGAUAGUAGGCUAGGCAGUGGAAUGUGUAGAAGAAACGGAAGUUAAAAGGAGUGUUUAUGAUAGUGGCAGCAUCAGAUGAGGUCAUUAUCCUUGGGAUUGUUGGAAAAACAGUAGAGCAAAAAAUAAAAUUAAGCCCAAGGCACGUAAAAGUGACACUGUCCGUAAGGAUAACUCUACACUUCAACCAUGCAGAAGGUAUAAUGCAGUACCCUCAGGAUUUAACAUGUUCUUUCAGAGUUAUCUUUGCACUCGUCAACUAAGAGAACAGGAAUAGUGUAUUGAGAAGGAACUUAGUGGCGCUUCGGACAGACAGAGUAGAGGAGGAAAAUGUUGCCUAUUUAUUAUGUUGAAUGGCAAUUAUAUAAUAAAAAUCAAACUUUUAUUUAAAAAAAAAUAAAAUAUAAAUCAAACUGUAAUAUAUAGAAAUUAAUUCAAGGGACCUGAAGGGGUAAUAUACAGAAAUAAUAAUGGUGUUUAUUAGGGUAAUAAUGUUUGAUAAUCAAAUUUGAAUUUAAAAAUAUUGAAAUCUGAAACGAUCUAAUUUCAGAGCUUACAGGAACAACAAAUUUUUGACAAACUUCAUCAACAUAAAUUAAAUUUAUGUAGAGAUAAAAUUUAAAAAAAUGGACUUGGAUGAGCCUCGUGUAUAUCUUGCAUUCAAGUGGCUGGAGAAUCCACCGUUUCGAAAGUUUCGGCCCAUCUCGUGUAUACCUACCACUUUUUUUUCUAGUUCUUUAUAAGCUUGCUAGUUAAAGUUUGUAUAUAAAGAAACACAAAGCUUCAUUUCUGCAGGAUGUGAAGCUUUUUUAAGUACUCUACAAUAUACAACCAUAUUAUGUAGAAAUCAAUUGCAGGACAUAGGUUGUAUAAUUGACAAGAAGUAUUAGUAGGAAGUCUUUCUGAUUAUUUGUGUAAUGGUGUUUGCUGCUGGAUGUUACUACUACAAUGUGGCUGUUCUUUUUCCUUGACAGGCGAUGGUUGAUUCUUGGAGCUUGCCUUUUCUUGAGGCUUUUAGAAAUUCAGAAGAUGUUCAGUUGUAUGAGGUAUCAGACCUCUUUUAUUUGUCUAUUGAUUUGUUUAACCCACAUUCUUUUACUCGCUAGUUAAACUAUUUCCCAUUAGAAGAAAAACUAUUUGAUAUUAUUUACAACUUGCCAUGAUAUAGCUCCCUCCAAUAGUUCUUUACUAAUAGACUAAUUCCUUCAAACAUAUCAUUUUUCUCUUUGCAAAAGCUUCAUUUUAUAUCUGUAAUUACAAGCAUCAUCUCUCAACCAAAUCACCGAUAUAAGACGCGAGUCUUAAUGAGAACAAGGCAUUGGACAAGAAAAAAGUAAAAGAAAAUCCCAUGAAGAAAGAAAAGAGAUGCACUGGAAGUGCUUGAUUUGCAACAUAAGGAUGCCCAUGGCAGUCGGUUGCUUCAUCUAUUGGCUGGAAAUCAAUCAUGUUAUUGUGCUUACGGUUUCCAUCCUUGCAGGUAUCAUUUAUAGACUCAUGGCUUUUGUGCUG